UUUUAUUUUUGAAUUAGAACAACAACAUUUACAUGGAGAUGCAUUUGAGUUUCUUCUUCCCUUCUCCAGGGCAGUGUUUCCCUGAACAAAGUUCGAAUUUCCUUGUGGCCAUAAGAUCUAUCCAACUUAACCAAAUCACCAAUCAGUACAUAUAUUUCUGACAAGCUUUCUCUGUAUUCAUCUUAUCUGCUCUCUACUACAUUCUACAUUUUACUUUGAUCUAGCUAAAUAACUCACCCAAAAGACAAAAAUACAUAAAUAAAAAAAAUAAAAAUUAAUAAUAAUAAUUUUCACAUGAGAGUACUAUCUUUCUAACAUUUGUUUUAUUGGUUCCCAAAUUUUUUCAAAUUUCCCUAGUCCCAGUCAUAGUCUUGCAUUAUUUUGUUCCAUUUUGUAGACCUGUCUAACUCUGUCUCUCCACUGUGCCACCCUUGGGGGUUCUGUGUACAGCCAUAAAACUGUAAUACACUUCUUGGCAGUCAUAAGCAGAAUUCUGAUUACGUAUGUCUCCAUUAUGUGUGUAAGAUAGCAUUCCCAGUACAAACCAUUUUAACUUAAAUUGUAAUUUCACAUUCAAGGUUCUUUCAAUUUCUCCCUAACACCUUCCCAGAAUGGUAUGAAUUUAGGGCAGUCCAAAAGUAUAUGUGAAAAGUCUCCCACUAGCCCGCAUUUUCUCCAACAUAAAUUUGAAACAUUACUAUUUAGACAUGAUAAGUGGAGUUUUAAAACAUGCAUCUUCACCUUCCAUUCAAAUUCCCUCCAAGACGGACUAUUAGUUAGUUUAUGGCCUGCUUCAAGUGUUUCCUCCCAUUCCUCAUCUGUUAUCAUUAUGUUCACUUCCAGUUCCCAUUUUUCUUUAAUAUCUAUUUUCUUAACAAUCAAAUCCUGUUGUAAAGCUUUAUAUAUUUUGAAAUCAGUCCUUUUUGACAUGUCCUUUCUGUUUAACAUAAUCACUUCCUCCAUAUUAAGUUUAUCCUUGCUUCAAACUUUGCCUUAUUUUGAAAUAACUACUCUGUCUGUCUGUCCUAAAUAACAUAUUAAGCAUGAAAUUACGAAUUAUUGUGAAAUUACACGCACAGGAAGUGCAUUUAUUUUGUAGCAUUUGCUCAGUCAGCUCUCGAAGCUUCUCAGCAGACUGAGAAGAGCAAGGGUUGGAGGUGCAUUAACCGUCAGAGGUCGCGCUUCUGUUCUGCAUCUGCACUUGACAGUCACUGGUUCUGCACCACUGAGCUAAAUAUGUGUAAAUGUAGAGCAUCUGCGUUCCUAUGAGCUGUCAGCCACACCGGGAAGCCUGUCUAUGAAUCUGCAGUCAGACUUCAAUGAUCCAACCCCACUCUCUGCACACAAGAUUGAUGGCAUGCUGCUGUUGACCCCCAAGAGGUUCAUACAAGUGAGACCACUGGAAUUACAUGAUGUCCACACAAGGCGUACCACUGUUCUCCAUGCCCUUCCUGUCUAUCUACGUGAGGAAACCUCUGGGUUUUUGAGGACAUGUGUGGAUGAUACCAAUGAGCCGGACCUCAGGGAUGCAGCAGUUGUCCUCCUGACAACCAUCACAGAUGAUGCAGAGAGUCCAGUUACGUACGACCCAGUGAGAAUCUGUUAUCCUAGAGGGUGGUGUGAUUGUCAACAUCUCCAGGCUUCCUGAUGCCUUCCUGGUAAUGUUCGGCCUCAUCUAUGCCUUACAUCUAGAUUAUCCGAAGGGACUGACCAACACAUUUGAGUUCACGCAGAAAAUCUUACUUGGUCUUGAUGAGUCUAAACUGUCACCCAUGCUGCAGAGUCAAAAAUGACCUGAUGUUAGAUGUGUAACUCAAAAUCUGAAAGAGUGGUGGAUUCAGAUGGCUCACUCUGUUAGAGCAUUGUCCACAUCCACAAUGUAAUUUACUAUUUGUCUGCUCUUUAAUUGUUGAUGUUAAAGUAACACACCACCAUUUGGGCAAAUUAGUUCAUUUUCCACUUCUCCUUGAGUUAACCCUCCCACUGUCCUAAUGGGUAGGACCCCACGAGGAAAGUUGACCAUUGAGCAGGGUUGAUGGUUCAUCCCUUGGGUCCACGUGGCAGGGGUGAGGAGUGAGCACCACCUCCCCCCUCAGUGGCGGAGCUUGAUAUGUGCAACAUGUGCGGCCGAACAGGGCGGCAGUCUGUAGGGGGCGGCAUUUAAUUUUUUUUUUUUUUUUUUCUUCCAUCAACCGAUACAUCAACAAAACAUAGAAAUCACAUGUUCUUCAUAAUAAUAAUAGUGAUUAGUGAUGAUAAUAAUAAUAUUUCUGUAAUAAAAGCACAACAAAGUCAUUGUUUGCGUUUAUAUUGGGAUUUUAUUGCGCCCCCUUGUGUCCGCCGCGCCUCUGUAGUGCGCUCUAUAGCGCCCUUCAUCAGGUGGGGGGCGGAGGGAUCUCGGAGAGUGAUGAUGGAGGGAUACAGGUACCGUUUCACAUAUCACUGCUCACAAACAUAAUGGAGAAGAAGCGGUCGAAGCCAUCUGGUGCCCAAUUUUGGAAAAAAAGAAAAGAAGAGGAGGAGAAACGAGGAAAAGAUGCAGGUAUGCAUCUCUUUAUUAUUUAGUUGGUAUUUUUCCCGCCUGUCCCCCAACUUAUUGAUUACCUAACCUCUCUAAUCUGAACGUUUUGCAUGGUGCUAUGAUGAUCCCUUCAAAUGUCUUUUGCUAGCUUCUUAUGUUGCAUGCAUUUAGAACUACUUCCAACCGCUAGCUUUUUCUUUGUCACAUGAGCUUUUAUGAAAAGCUAAGAGUGGAAAACCGAAAGGCUGAUAACCAAACGCUAUCAAAUUAAAAUUAGUCUUUGAGUAUUUUGCUGAAAUACAUUGACGGCGGGCGGCAGGUCUCGCGCCGGCGCCAUUCGCCUUUCUAUUUGGACUCGGGAAAUGAGCUACGUAUUAUUUACCCCACGAAAAACGGAGCGGCAGCGGGCCGCUGGAGGUGCCCUGCUAGUAAGAUCCCGUUUAUACUGUAAACUGCCAUAACAUAAAAACUAUAAUAGCUAGAGCGGUCUUUUUUUAGCUGAAAGUUGAGACUGUCUCGCCUUUCAGCACUGUACAAGUCGAUGAUGUCAUCGUGUUGCGUUAAGUGUGCUGCACAGCACACCGCGGCUAUGUUAACUCACAGUGACCAAGAAGCAGCGUGGGAGAGUUGAAGAAUUUAACCAGUUAAAAUGGAUUCAUGGAUAUUUAAUCAAUAGUUGUGGCUCCUCUUGUCAUUUAGUUUUUUGUGUGCCGGAGACAUUUGCUGAAUAAGGAAAUAAAAACUUAAAAUGACAAAAAAAAUUAGGGAAAAACACUUGUUUUGUAUUUUAUCAAUUAUUAAUGAUUAAUAGAUUGUUGGUGUUUUAACUUUUGGUAAAGGAAAACACACAAUUUCCAGGCAGCCCCAGUCUGGAGAAGUGAUGGUGACAUCAGCCGUUAAAAAUAAAUAAUACUCUGAGGUUUUUAUUAAUAAUUUCUACUUUUACUUCAGUAUUUCUCUAACAGCAGUACUUUUACUUGUAAAUGAGUAAUAUUUUAGCAAUGUAACAGUACUUGUACUUGAGUACAGAUUUUCAGAAUUCUUUCCACUACUGCUGAAAACUGUAAAUGCUCAUUGUAACAUGUUAAUUAAAAUGCUUAAGCAACAGACGUGACAUGAAGAUUGUAUUGUUUGUUUUAUGCAACAUCAGGAGCCCUACGCAGAUAUUUUGGGAUGACAUCAGCUGCCACUGAGGAACAGCCAUCUACCUCCACUGCUCAUAGGCCAGUAUUUGAACUCGAGGAGGGAGAGUCUGCUGGCACCACAUCUCCCCAGGAAGAUACUUUAGAGAGACCUACCAGUCUAUGUGAACUUGAUGAGGGACAGCCAGCUACCACGUCUCCCCAACAAGAUACGUCAGAGAAGCCUGAACGAUCAACCAAUGAGUCCCAUUGAAGGUGAUGAUGAGCCUCUUUCUUCAGACCCAGCCAAGUGGCCAUCACCAAUUACCGACAGCAUACGCACAGAGCUAGUUCGAAGAGGACCUACCAAGGUGCCAACUACUUUCAUAUUUCCCAGGAAUGAAGGCGAUGGCGGGUGUUGUCAUCAUCACUAUUUCAGUAGAACUUUGACAAGUGGUGAGAAGGUGGCCAGGAGCUGGAUGUUGUAUUCAGUUAGCAAACUUUGUUAUAUAUAAUACACUCCACGCCAUUUGAAACAAAGUUGUAGGUGUAAUUUUUUUUUCUUGUGUGUGUGUGUGUGUGGGGGGUGUCACGGGGGAUCUCGCACAGGGCGCCAUUUAGGCCAGCUCCGCCUCUGUCCCCCCUGCCACGUGGACCUCAAGGGAUAAACUAUCAACGCUGCUCAAUGGUCAACUUUCCUCGCGGGGUCACCCAUAAAGACAGUGGGAGGAACAGGCAUGCUCAGUUGAAGUUUCCAUCUCUGCGCGUUCAAGAUGUAAGAAAAAUAACACGAAAGAAAUGCAACAAUGAAAACUUCAAAAAGGCAUCAACAACCAAGCAAGUGGAUCCAUAAAUUGGACUGAUUUUUUUAAAGGCAUUUUAAAAAAGUCUUUCAAAAUGGACAGAAUUAACGCGUCAUGUUCAGAACAGUUUGCGUUCUCAUCUUUGAUUAAUCCUGGUAAACAGGUCUGUUUUUGUUCUGUUCUAAUUCUUUCUGUUUAAUAAAUUUAAACAAAAUGACUUAGCUAUUUCAUUUACUUUUUUUUCUCUGCAUAAAGACGAAGUAUCAGUAAAUAGUGGAAAUUAAAUGUAUUGGUAGUAAGCAAAUAGCAGAUGUUAAAUGUUACUUGCAGUAUGUGUUUAUAGAAAAAAUAGAGAUACUUAAAUGUUCUAAAAGAAUAUUACGUCAAGUUUACUGUAAAGUGUACUUUCAAAACUGUAAGUAUACACAAUUAUAUAAGAAGUACACUACAAGUAAACAUAUAUUAUUACUUUAAGUAUAAUUUUAAGUAUACAUUCAAAGAGAAAAGUAUACUCAAUUAUUUCAGAAGUACACUACAAGUAAACUUAUAAUGCUAUUUAAAGUUUAUUUUUAAGUAUACUUUCAAGGCCAAAAGUUUACUCAAUUUUAUUAGAAGUAAACUUAUACUGUUACUUUUAAGUAUACUUUCAAUGAGAAAAGUAUACUCAACUAUAUCAGGAGUAUACUACAAGUAAACUUAUAUUGUUACUUUUAAGUAUACUUCCAAGGAGAAAAGUAUACUCAAUUAUAUCAGAAGUACACUACAAGUAAACUUAUAAGUAUACUUUCAAGGAGAAAAGUAUACUCAACUAUAUCAGGAGUACACUACAAGUAAACAUAUUCUUACUUUUAAGUAUACUUCCAAGGAGAAAAGUAUACUCAAUUAUAUCAGAAGUACACUACAAGUAAACUUAUAAGUAUACUUCCAAGGAGAAAAGUAUACUCAAUUAUAUCUGAAGUACACUCCAAGUACACUUGUGAGGUUACUUUAAGUAUACUUUCAAAGAGAAAAGUAUACUCAAUUAUAUCAGAAGUACACUACAAAUAAACUUAAAUUAUUACUUUGAAGUAUACUUGUAGUAUACUUCAAGUAUACUUUUAGUGGCCCAAUUUAGUCCCAAGGAGUAUACUUCUAAGUAAACUUUAAGAACAAGUAUGCAAAUAAACUUCUGUACACUUAAGUAUACUUGAAAUUAGAUACUUAAAGUAUACUUCUUUUUCGUAAGGGAUCUGAAGCUCAUUUGAGAGUCAUCAAGAAUGACUUACAAGGCAUUCAUUCCUUCUAGAGACCAAUGCAAAUGUAUUGAUUAACCAAGUCAACUGCUCCUUUAAAUCUAAACAUGGUGCGGUUAAUGAGAGACACAACUUCUACUCACAAAGGACGCCACUGAGAUUCAAUAAAGAGCAAAUUGUUGGUAAUUUUUUUUCUAAUUCAUAUAAAAUGCUGUCCAAAAAAUCCUAUUUGAAAUGUUUAUCAUGGAUAUUUUGUUAUAAAAUACAUAACAGCAGAGUUUUCUAGUAAAAAGUGUCCUUUCUCAGCAAAGCUUCUAAAAAGGCUCCUUUUUCUAAAUGUGAACCUCUGACAUAAUCAAAGGGCGUUAGAAGCUAGGCUGCCUCAGCUCAGUGUGGAAAGUGGCUAGCUUUAGGGUAGAGAGGUCAUGUGAUCCAGUCAGUGUGUGUGCUUACUAUUGUUGGAUUGUGUUCAUUUGGAUAAACUAGAGUGUGUGAAUGCUGUGUGUUUACUAUUGUUGGAUUGUGUUCAUUUGGAUAAACUAGAGUGUGUGAAGGCUGUACCAACUCCAGUGUGUCCGGACAUCGAGUCCACGGGUUUCCAGACAAGAGAAACAACGCCUCUAUCUCCAUGCCUGAGGGCGUUUUGUGCAGCUGAAAAGACGGACUUCUGUAGCCCGCAUCGGUCAUUACGGGGACAGGGAGGUCCAUGCUGGCUCCGUAGACCUGUAGUGGGUUUUAAAAAAUGAAAUGCAGAUUUAUGGAGCUCAGAUCACCAUCAGAACCAGGUCAGAACCGACCACCAGAAGACAUGAGUGGCUCAGUGGGCUAGCUGGUUUCCGGGUCGGAACCGGAUCAGAACCGCUGCCUGGACCACCAGGAGAGGAUCGAGUGCUGCUUUUAAAAAUACCAACUGGACUGGCUUGCUGGUGUUUGGGUCGGAUCCAGCUCACAGAAGCCCGCAUGAGCUCCAGAACCGGAAGCUCUCCCUCUCUCUAAAGCACUGAACUACUUUAGGUAAACGGAUAUUAACGAGUAUGAGACCGCUGACAGACGCUUGUUAGUAUUAAUAUUAUAUUAACUGACCAAUACUAUUUUAAUUGUCUGGUACACGAUAGUAAUCAGUACAAUAUCUUAAUGUUAGCACACAAGUUUAAGGUAACAUGGUUAACUCACCUGCUGCCGCCGCCGCCCCCGCUUCUCCUCCUUCUCUCUGCUAUGGAUGAUGGUUUCUCACUCUGGUUUGUCUCUGCCCUCUGGGUCGUGGAGCAAACUCAUAACUUUAUAGUUUUGGUCCAUCAGAAGUAUAAUUAUUAACAUUUAAAGUUUCCUCUGUGUCAAAGCCGCAUUAGAGUCCAUACUUUUCUCUGGAUUAAGCUAACAGGACUCCCUCAGCUGACGUCACUUGAAGUGGCAAAAAAAAAUCUCUCACAAAAAUGACUCUAAAAGCCAAAAUAAUUCAUGUAUGUGUAAAAAAAAAACUUUUAAAAUGAUUUUCUAUUAUGUUUCUCUAAACACUGGUUGAUGGAAGUCUCUAACCUGCUAUUUGCUCUUUAAACCUGCUCCUUGCUCAUCAGCAUUUACUUAGUUCUGCUGGUUCAACCCCAAUAUAACAGAUCGGACAUCUUUUUUGGCAUAAAACAAAUAAAACAAAAAAUUUUACUCAGCAUUCUUUUAAUGCUCUUAUGAUUUUUUCAUUUUUAAUCUUUCUUUUAAUGAUAAACAUAAUAUUUGUUCCUAUUGUGAGUUUAUGGUUGUGUUCAGCACCUUGGUUGUCUGAUAAGGUCGUAGAAGGUGCUUUAUAAAUAAACAAAUGAAUGAAUGAAAUAAACAAAUGAAUGAAUACCUCUGAGAGUCUGUUUUUUUGAAGAAUUCAGAUGUAUUGUUCUAUAAGCCAUAAUAUUAUAUUUGUUGGUUUUUCUAUUCUUAACACGUUUCUCAUCACGUAUAAUAAGUUGUUGAAGUCUUACUCUAAAAAUCUCGACCAUAUCAACUGUAUGAGGAAAGAGAAAGUCAUUUAGCGUCGUCUGACUGGCUACUAGAACACUGGGCUGCUGAUUCUGUGGCAAGUCCCAGAAAAAGUCAGCUUUCAUUCUGCAGUAAGCUCUCACAAUCAACAAGUGUAACCCAUGGCUCUUUACAGUUUAAAACAACACCAACACACACAUUUGGCCACCACCCUUUCAUUUCUCCACACAGUCCACAGGUGUUGGGAUCAUGAGGGUGUGGGAUGCAAAUGAAAGUUGGCGUAUCCAAUCGUUGCCUGACGUCAGGGUGCCACCCUUCAUGGCAGCUAGCCCGCUGACAGAGCGAGCCAUCUGGGCAGCGGGGAAUCUGCCAUAGGCCCAUCCAUUCCUGUGUCCUGCCCUCUGGGUCCACAGCCAGGGAAACAGACAGGGAGAGCUGGAGGGGAUCGGCGCUCCUCAACUGCUCGCCAGGCUGGAGUAUGUUUCCUAACAUUCUAGCAUUCAGUGGGGUCAAUAUUCUCCUCACUUUGCUUUAUUUAAGGCUUCAGAUUAGAUUUAUUCAUGCUGACUGGUCACAGAUAUUUUGGUUAUUGCAAACAUAAUAUCACGCUGUGAGUCGGUGGGAGGUUAGGACCCAAAAUGCAGACCCAGGAUGACACAAGACAGGAGUAGUGAAAACGUAAAAAUCCUUUAUUUAGGGGUAAAUCCAAAGGGCUGAAAGCCAAAAACCAAAAAUCCAAGAAUCAAAACCCUGGGAAUAUCCAAAAACACAAGAGACCUAGACAAAUUCCAAAUACCUAGAGAGGGGAUGAGCAAACGCUGACACAAACAAUGGACCAACAACCACAUUGAGAUGCAGACAUGGUUAUAUACACAAGGGCUGAUUAGGGGUGAUUAGGGAAUUGUGCACAGGUGAGACUAAUAAACAGAGGAGGAGCACAACGGAGCAGGGGAGAAAACCAGACCUAAAAAUGGGGAAGGGAGCAAAAUGAACUGGAAGACUAAUGAUAAAAGGUGUCUAAGGAAAAACGUAAGGGGAACCUAGAGGGCCUGGAGGGGGUUGGGGACACACAGGGACACUGAAACCUGGAGGGAACACCUAAGGGGAAAAAACCUGGAGUGGGCUGGGGAACACAAGGAGGCACAUGAGGAGCACAAGGAGACACGUGAGGGAAACCUAGAGAGGGAUGAAGAACACAAGGAGACACAUGAGGGAGAUGCAGGACGCAGACCAUGACACAUAAUUAUGAAUGCAAACAUAAUUUUACCAAAGCUAGAGUCACUAACUCUUAAUUUGUCUUCUCAAGAGAAGAACCUGUGUGUGAUUUUUGACUCUGAGCUAACUUUAUUCCCCACAUUAAGAACAUUACAAAAAUUGUUUUUUAUCACCUGAAAAACAUUGCCAGAGUCCGCCCCUUUCUCUCUCUGGCCAAUACAGAGACGCUGAUGCAUGCUUUUAUCACCAGUAGAAUUGAUUACUGUAAUGCCCUGAUAUCUGGUCUUCCCAAAAAGAGUACCUCAGGCUUACAACUCCUACAAAAUUCAGCAGUCCGUGUCCUGACGAAGACCAGGAGGUAGGAGCACAUUACACCACUCUUAAACAAGCUGCUUUGGCUUCCUGUAAGUUUCAGGAUUGAUUUUAAAGUUCUUUUAAUGGUUUUUAAAUGUCUUAAUGGUCUUGGGCCUUCUUAUCUCCCAGAACUGCUUCAUAAAUACGAAACGUUGCGGUCCCUGCACUCCUCUGGCAGCCAUCUCCUCAUCAUUCCAAAAGUCAGACACAUUCCCAAGGCGAGGCAUCCUUCCAGUUUAAUGGCCCUCGCCUCUGGAACAGUCUGCCAGAGGACCUCAGGGCCGUAGAGAGUGUUCUUGUUUUUAAGGCCAGGCUAAAGACUCACCUUUUUAGUAUAGCUUUUAAUUGAUUUUGAUCUAUUUUAGCCUGUUUUACCAUCUUUUAUAUAUUUUAUCAGUUUUCUUACUUACUCUUUUAAUUAAAUGGCAUAUAUUUUCUUUUGUAUUAAUUUUAACUUGUAAUAAUAAUUAGUUUUAACCAGUCUUAAUACUUUGUUGUACAAUAUUUUAUAAAUGUAAUUAUACAUUUCUACUUGGUCACCUUUUAUCACUGUUUUAUUUAAACUUUUAUUUAUCAGCUGUUUAUGUUUAAUUUGUUUCUCAACUGUUAUCUUAGUCUCAUUAGUAAACUAGUGUUUCCUCUGUGGGGGCCAGCUGCCCCGGGGAGCAGCAGUGGGCUGUGGCGGCCGGGGUGCUUUUCGUGCCUCCUCUUGCCCAGGCUGCUGCUGCCGAUCCUGGUGCAGUUGGCUCCUUUGAUGGCGUUUCCGUCUUCUUUGUGCCAACUACAUCUGCACUCAGCCAGCUGCCCUUUCUCUUUUACGUGUGUGUGUGUGUGUGUGUGUGUGAGUUUGCAUCUGCUUGGGAUGGGAUUGAGGGAGGGAGGAGUGAGAUACAAAGGGGAUCUCUUAUGUGAAUCUGUGUGGGAGGGGUGGGAAACCGACUGCUGUCUGGUUGUUUUUAAUAUUGUAAAGCGCUUUGAGCUGCAUUUGUAUGAAAAGUGCUUCAUAAAUAAAUUUGAUUUGAUAUGAUCACCAGAUGAUCAGAAGUCACUUGUCUGUACACUGUUUUACUUUACACACACACUUACACAUACACAUACACACAUACACACACACACACACACACACACACACACACACACACAUAUAAUUUCUCUGGUUUGCGGGGUUCUGUCUUGCCAUUGGUUGCCCGGGAGACAGCCUGAUCUCUGAAAUGGCAGUGAUGGCAAAGAGGCAAAACGUAAGAGAAUCCUUACAUCCUCUAGCUGGGUUAUUUUUGGUGGACAAAGCUCUUCACGGUCCUUCGUAAAAAAGAAAAAAAAAACAUAAUCAUUGCAAGUCUGAAACCAGAACUCAUGAGACUAGUGAAACCUUCCCUACAAAGUGUUUUCAAGAGAUGCUUCUCUUCAAGCAGUCCAGACAAUAAAUGUCCCCUAAAAUGGAUUUUGUUGACAUUUACUUAGAGCAAAACACUGACAUUUCUCAACCUCUAAAAGGUAUUGUUCUGUGGCCCCACAGCUGACAAACCAAUAAUUAAACCAAACAGCUUUUAUCCCUUUUAAACCAUUUAAAUGGGAUUCUAUCUGCUGAUUGCAACUUUGAUUUAGACACAAAUGUCAUUCUCUACAGUUUCUAGAGAAUAUGUUCCCAAAUCUUCUCUGGCCCUCAAACAAGAUUACCAGAGUUGUGAUCCCAGUUAUCUUUAACUGCAGGUAGUUCAGAAUGCUUGUGACCAAGUCCUCCAAAUACACCCACAUCACCCUGCUUCUCCAGCUUCACUGGCUGCCAGUCAACUUGAGGGUUAAUUUCAAGAUCCUGAUUCUGGUCUUUAGGGCCUUACAUCGCAUGUGUCAGACAUAAAGGCCUGGCCCGCGGAGCAUUUUUAUGUGGCCUGCGAGAUAAAUAUCAAAAACGUAUUAAAACUGACCCGCUGGCCAAUUUUACCACAAAGACUACAACUCCCAUGAUGCUUUGCGGCGUUAGCAUGGAGCCGAAGCGCCCCCUCCUUUGUGUUUUUUCCAGAGUCUGCUGCCGUGUUGGUACAGGAUCUGCUCAGGUGCAGGAUCGGCUCAGGGUCCUUCGAUUGCCGAUGACGUCACAUUACUGCAAAUCUACUCUGCUUUCACACACGUUUUGGAAAGACAUCAGCAGUUUUGUUAAUAAAUUUUUGUGUGUUAACACCUAAAUGUUUUCUUUAUAAUUGUAAUUUGUUAAUAAAACACCAUAUUAUCUUUGUUUUGUAAAGAAUGUGAAACUGCAUAAAACCAACAUCGGACUGACAAGAAAUAGAACAGUACUUAUAUGUGAAGCCAUAUCUGUUUGUAUUAAUGUGGAGUUCGUCUAUAUAUUUCCUUAGUUGUUAUCUAAAUACAUUCUUUGACUCCAAAUAUUGCUUGGUGUCUUUCAAUAAAGUUCUUAUAUUUUAUUUGCCCCAUUUCAUCAACAUCAAGAGCUUUUGAGGGUCACCGUUUAUCAUUUGCUUAUAUUUCACAUUUCCUUUAGAAAUUCAAACACAUUUUCUCCAAAAAGUGUUGAUUUUUGGACUACAGGACUACAACCACUAACACUACGACUGCAAAUUUGUUCUGACCAAUCAAAACCAUAACGUGAUAACGUAACUUCCGUAAGCUUCAUGUUCAGCCAAUCAACUACUUUGACGUCAUUGGCAGUCGAAGGACCCCGAGCAGAUCAUGCAUCUGAGCAGAUCCUGUACCGACACCGGUGUCUGCAGCUCCACUGUCUCGGACAAACUAAACACUCCUCUCACUCAGCGCCGAGCUUACUCAGCUAUUUGCCAAUGUUGAAGCCCAGAAACGGAGAUUUUAACCGCUCAGUAAUGUGUUCACGACUGAAAGAGAAAGUUUUCCAACUAACUUCCAGACAGAGCUGAUAUAACUCCAACAAGCAGUGACAUGGUCAAAUCAGCAUGUCUCUGUGGCUGCUGUAGUUUUUAUUUUUCCUCCCCCGACACACAACAACGUGGUCAAGCUGCUCAGACAUGUUCAGCAGCACAAACCUAUGUGAGCACCUGUUGUCAUCUAAUGUUGUCAUUAUUAUGACGAAGAUGAACAAAACAACAGGAGUCUCCUCCUCAGCUCAAAUCAGCCCCAUGAUCAGAGCCGGAUUAAAUAAAUGGACUACAAUAGGCAGGCUGCAUUUUAACAUCCAUCGAUGUUAUUUAAUGAAUUGAAAUCUGAAACUUACCAAAGUUAUUAAUAAAAGUUCAUUCACAUUUUACAUAGCCUAGUUUUUGGUUACAAAUUGGUUGUUUGUAUGCCAAAAUAAGUCAUGUGUUGUAUGUUAAACACUCUAUCAGACUAUUUUUUUAUAUUAAUCAUUUAUAUGUCAUUACACAGCUGUAUUAAAUGCUAAUAAAUUAUCCUCAUCUUAUCGAUUGGGAGUGCCAUUAUCAAGGCGGUACCAGUAAAUAACC